GAUGAACGCUGGCGGCGUGCCUAAUACAUGCAAGUCGAACGCUGAAGGAGGAGCUUGCUCUUCUGGAUGAGUUGCGAACGGGUGAGUAACGCGUAGGUAACCUGCCUGGUAGCGGGGGAUAACUAUUGGAAACGAUAGCUAAUACCGCAUGACAACAGUUAUUGCAUGAUAACUGUUUAAAAGGGGCAACUGCUCCACUACCAGAUGGACCUGCGUUGUAUUAGCUAGUUGGUGAGGUAACGGCUCACCAAGGCGACGAUACAUAGCCGACCUGAGAGGGUGAUCGGCCACACUGGGACUGAGACACGGCCCAGACUCCUACGGGAGGCAGCAGUAGGGAAUCUUCGGCAAUGGACGGAAGUCUGACCGAGCAACGCCGCGUGAGUGAAGAAGGUUUUCGGAUCGUAAAGCUCUGUUGUAAGAGAAGAACGAGUGUGAGAGUGGAAAGUGCACACUGUGACGGUAUCUUACCAGAAAGGGACGGCUAACUACGU
rnacentral:rRNA from 1 species